UAUUAUUUUUAUAAAAAUUUAAGUAGUAAGCGUUACUCGUGAAACUUAAAAUAAUUGGCGGCUAUUUUAAAUAAUUAGAGGAAUUUAUUCUGUCAAGGAUUCAACACCAAAAUCUUACUUUCAUUUGUAUUUUAAACAAUCUAUCUUCCGCUAUCUUUUUAUUAUUUAAUUAAUUAAAACACCACUUUUUAGAAAAAUUUUAGGUUAAAGAGUAGUUAAUAUGAAAGAUUGAAAUAAAUUAUUUUAAUUUAAUUAAACAAAAAUUUUAUUGUAAAAUAAAAUUUUAGAAAAAUUUAAAAGUAAAAAUUAUAUAUUCAAUAAUUUUGAAUCAUUCAUUAAUAGUGUACAAAUUGCCCGUCACUCUCUAUUAGAG
rnacentral:rRNA from 1 species